UUCAGCUAAUAGCUUUGCUGGCAGUGCUGCGAGCAGCUCUGGAGCUAAAUAGUCAUGGCGAGGCUUGGGGAGGAGCUCACCUGUCCUACAGGGCACUUUUCAUUCUUGGCUUUGAAAGGAUGUGACUCACUGACAUAAAUUUUGUAGACUACAGAGAGAAACGCUACUGGAUAAUAACGAUCGCCUUUCAAAGUCUCUGCUAUCGGAUCUCCUGUUACUCCAAGAAUUGUUCCUGUCAAGGGAGAACAUGGGGUUUGGUUACGUCAACACCAUCUGUGUUCUCAGAACAUUUGGUUUUUUCUACUGGAAACCGAAACCCCCACUGAUGGACUCCAUCCUCAGUAUCCUUACGGAGUAACAGACUGUAAUUUUUUUAUGAAGCACCAGCUGCAGAACCUGCCCCUGGCUCUGAUGGUUGCUUACAUGUAGCUCAAAGCAGUGUGCAAGCAGGCAUUGCACAAAGCCAGCUCACACUUGCUGCUUUAACUCAGCUCCAAGGGAAUGAACUCUUGCAGCCCUGCAGAAUUCCAGGGGUAAGAAACUGCAGCAGCUGAGCUGGUAGAAAAUUGUCCACAUCUAUGUGGGCAGAAAAUAAAUUUGCUUUGCAGAAGGCCUGGAGCAAAGAACACAUGGCUUGGCAAUUACAGUGUGACCAUCAGGCUUGUUUUGCCUCUUUUUUAACUCACUGUGUCAUUAAAACUUUCCUGACUUGCAAUUCUUUGGUGGGUAAAUUGCAUAUUUUUAUAUUUUAACAGGAUGAGCUUUACACUGGCACCUCUCUUAAUUUCAUCUCUGGGAUUGGCUGGUUCAACUUCUGAAACAAGAAAUGGCUGAGCAGAUCUGUGUAUUCUAGCUGAACAUCAUGAAGUCUGUAGUUUUCUUUAGGGGACAGCAUGUGGGCUAUUAUUAAACCAGAAAACAUAUGUGAAUAAUUGAGGAGAGCAAUCCAGCAUUUAGGUUAGAAAAUGUGAAGUCAGCUUGCUGUGAAUAACAUAUCUCUGCAUUUUGACCUGUUGCUGACAAAGAAUAUAUUUCACUAUUACCUGGAUAGAAAUGAUUGGGGAUUUUUUCUCCUGUAAAUGAAAGCCAGUUGAGAGAAGCUGGCAACAGACAAAUGAUGCUCAUUCCUCCCCUGCUUCUACUUAAUGGCUGAUAUCGAGAUGCUCUGCAUUCACUGGUGACACUGCUAUUAAAAACAUAUUUCUUAUCUGGCUUUUUUAUUCCUACAAAUCGAGCGUGGAAAUAAA